rnacentral:lncRNA from 1 species
AAGAAGCGCAAAGGUUGUGAAUGGACAAUGGUUUGGUGGACCAAGCAAGGCCCCUUUAUCUAAGUGCCCCUGGUGGUAACAAACAGUUCUCGGAGUUGUCAAUAUCCCUGGUUGCAGCUUCUUAGAACCAGUUAAGAAGUUUUCUUGGAACCAGUGAAGAAGUUCAAAGGCUCAGUAAAUCGACAAGGAUUAGGUGGUCUAAGCCUCCACUUAUUCUGACUGCCACAGAUGAUGAACAGUUAUUGAAUCUUACAAUAUAUGUACUUGUAGCUUCUUCUUUGAGACAGUGAAGAAGUUCGUCGACAACGAUUCGGUGGUCUAAGAAAGGCCUCACCUUGUAUCUGUGUGCUACAGAGAAUGACGAACGGUUCUGGGAGAUAACAAUCUCUGUUCUUGUUUGGGUGCAGGUAAAACUUUCUCUUGUCUUUUCUGGUCAGUUCCCUUUUACAGCUUACUUGUUAUUGUCUCAGACUCCAAUUUUUUGGAUCGAUUUAUUUUGCGUUUGGCAUUUAUCUAGAAUGGUUUGUCGGUUUAGGAAACCUGCUUCCUCGUACGCUUGCAUUGCUGCCUGCUAAGGGACCAGUAACUAGCGAAAGAUGGGAGUCGAGGAGGUUGUUUGCGCUCACUUCAGUCCAAGCCAUCGUCUGCUGUUGGCUGUGACGGAUCUCUCUCCCCCCUUCAAGGGGUCUGCAUGAAUAUAUUCAUAUAACUGUUUUUGCUGUUCGUGACCCACCAAUACUAGACAGCUGCGAUGGGGAAUCGUAGGAGUGUCUGUUUAUCCAAUCUCAAAAAUCUAUUUCCUCUUGUCCAUUCUGAUAAGUUUCGGAGGAUGUCUGCUUUGGGUGUUUAGUUCAUGGAUCCUAUACCUCAGAUGCGACUAGUCAGUUUCCCGGCAAAUGGGCUCUCUGCGGAUAUGAAGCUAUAUUCCAAUGUUUGUAAGAUGGUUUUUCUUGAUUUGAGUUGCUUUCAGCUAUGAGCCAUGUGAUUCGAUCCUUGGCCGUUUCGAUCAAUCUUGUUAAUGUACCAACAACCCUCAUUAACCCUGACCUUUGCAUUGGCCGACACUGAAACAUGUGGCAGCUAAGAUUCUAGUAGUCUUGUGGAGCCUUCAGAAACAGAGAAGUGCAUGUAUAGGCCCAUGAGAGUGUCACAGCUGAAAGGAUGCUUCUUCUGUCCUCGGAGGGUCUUCACAAAUAGGAACAGGCUCAACAAUUGCGAGAGUGUACGUGGGAACAUGUCGACGCCGAUGAAAAUAUGUGGAAAAUGGCACUUAUGGAAUGAGGAUACGAUUAAGUGCGAUGUUGAUGCAUCUGUUUUUGCCAAAUAAGGACAUGACGCUUGCAGGUAUUUCUGUGUGUGAUCAAGAGGCUGUUCUUUUUGGCUUUACGAAUGCUAACGAAACAUGGUGCGAGGUGAGAGUGCUGUUGGAGGCCAUAGCCCGGGUGACGAGCCUUAAGGAUUGGGGUGGUGAUCUUAUUAAUAUGUACUAGCCGUUGCUCUUGCUAUAUAUGUGGUUCAAAGUUUGUUUCGUUGAGAGGAAUAGGAAUACGAUUUCCCACUUGUUAGCUCGUUGCUUCUCCGAUCUUGGGCCGAAAAUGCGUUAGCUGAUAUGUGUUUGGUGUUGGAGCAUUUAGUGAGAAUGACGGUUGUGAUUCCAAAAAGGAGAAUGGAAUGGCAAAGAAACGUGAUGUCGUGCGCUGGGGAGGUCAGGAAAAUGCUCACGAGAUUUGGGCACACCAAAGUCACUCUUCAAUUGGCUUCUUGCUGCCUUAACAUGCCUCUCUUUACUUCCUUCCUUUUGGGUUUUUAACUUACAACUAUGUCUAUAGCCUGUUCCUUGGAGAAAAAACACAUAUGAAUUAAUAUACACAUAUCUUAUUUUAAUUAUAGUGUUCCGAGCCGAUGGCAGAACCAAAGUUCGACGAUCCUAUCCCCACUACUCAUGUAAGAUCCCCACAAGUGAUGUUUGUCAUCGGGUUGUUAUUGAAUUCGACACAAUAUACUUUCAAAUUCACUCUAAACUUCAAAUUUCUGCACGGG